UUAUACCGCGAAACUGCGAAUGGCUCAUUAAAUCAGUUAUCGUCUAUUUGAUAGUACCUUACUACUUGGAUAACCGUGGUAAUUCUAGAGCUAAUACAUGCUGAAAAUCCCGACUUCGGAAGGGUUGUAUUUAUUAGAUUAAAAACCAAUGCCCUUCGGGGCUCACUGGUGAUUCAUAAUAACUUCUCGAAUCGCACGGCCUUGCGCCGGCGAUGGCUCAUUCAAAUUUCUGCCCUAUCAACUUUCGACGGCUUGGUCUUGGCCAGCCGUGGUGACAACGGGUAACGGAGGGUUAGGGCUCGGCCCCGGAGAAGGAGCCUGAGAAACGGCUACUACAUCCAAGGAAGGCAGCAGGCGCGCAAAUUACCCAAUCCCGAUACGGGGAGGUAGUGACAAUAAAUACUGAUACAGGGCUCUUUUGGGUCUUGUAAUUGGAAUGAGUACAAUUUAAUUCCCUUAACGAGGAACAAUUGGAGGGCAAGUCUGGUGCCAGCAGCCGCGGUAAUUCCAGCUCCAAUAGCGUAUAUUAAAGUUGUUGCAGUUAAAAAGCUCGUAGUUGAACCUUGGGCCUGGCUGGCCGGUCCGCCUCACCGCGUGCACUGGUCCGGCCGGGCCUUUCCCUCUGGGGAACCGCAUGCCCUUCACUGGGCGUGUCGGGGAACCAGGACUUUUACUUUGAAAAAAUUAGAGUGUUCAAAGCAGGCUUAUGCUCGGAUACAUUAGCAUGGAAUAAUAGAAUAGGACGUGCGGUUCUAUUUUGUUGGUUUCUAGGACCGCCGUAAUGAUUAAUAGGGACAGUCGGGGGCAUCAGUAUUCAAUUGUCAGAGGUGAAA
rnacentral:rRNA from 1 species